rnacentral:tRNA from 1 species
GCGCCUGUAACUCAGAGGAUAGAGUAGCUGACUUCUAAUCAGCAAGUCGCAGGUUCGAGUCCUGCCAGGCGCGCCA